rnacentral:rRNA from 1 species
AUUGAACGCUGGCGGCAGGCUUAACACAUGCAAGUCGAGCGGAAACGAAGAGGAGCUUGCUCCUUUGGCGUCGAGCGGCGGACGGGUGAGUAAUGCUUGGGAAUAUGCCUUUUGGUAGGGGACAACAGUUGGAAACGACUGCUAAUACCGCAUAAUGUUUACGGACCAAAGCGGGGGACCUUCGGGCCUCGUGCCAAAAGAUUAGCCCAAGUGAGAUUAGCUAGUUGGUAAGGUAAUGGCUUACCAAGGCGACGAUCUCUAGCUGGUUUGAGAGGAUGAUCAGCCACACUGGGACUGAGACACGGCCCAGACUCCUACGGGAGGCAGCAGUGGGGAAUUUCCGCAAUGGGCGAAAGCCUGACGGAGCAAGACCGCGUGGGGGAG